rnacentral:tRNA from 1 species
GCUGGUGUGGCUCAGAGGUAGAGCACUUCCUUGGUAAGGAAGGGGUCACGGGUUCGAUUCCCGUCACCAGCU